CGGCGAACGGGUGAGUAACACGUAGGUGAUCUGCCCAUCAGACGGGGACAACGAUUGGAAACGAUCGCUAAUACCGGAUAGGACGAAAGUUUAAAGAUGCUCCUGGUAUCACUGAUGGAUGAGCCUGCGGCGCAUUAGCUAGUUGGUGGGGUAAAGGCCUACCAAGGCGACGAUGCGUAGCCGACCUGAGAGGGUGAACGGCCACACUGGGACUGAGACACGGCCCAGACUCCUACGGAAGGCAGCAG
rnacentral:rRNA from 1 species